rnacentral:lncRNA from 1 species
UUGGGUUCAUGAUAACUCUAAAAAGUUGGAGUUUGAUCGGAGUGUAUGGCUUCUAACUUCGCGGAGGGUUACGUUGGCGGCCGACAACGUAACAUCGGGAGUUAGUAGUGAAGGACACUUCCUUACUUUCGCAUGAUUUGGAUUUUAUCUAUUUGAGCGGGGUUGCGAUAGUGUGGGUUACUAACUUGCGCUUUUAUGUUUUGUAGUGACGAUGCCGAUUACACGCUCCCAGUCUGCCGAGGCGGAUGAUGCGGCACAUCCCGAGGAGGUCGAGACCUCCGCUACUUCCGGAUCUAGUGAGGUCCGUGACUUGAGGGCCCAGCUUGCGGUUCUCACUGAUCUGUUGGCGCAGCAGACGGCAGUGGCGCAGCGACAGGCUGAGGUGGCUCAGCGGCAGGAGGCGCAGAUGAAGCAUCUUGAGGACCUCCUACUUCAGCAGGCGGCAGCUUCGAGGGAGACCCAGGGUCCCACACCGCCAGCACCCGUGGUGGAUGUCGCACCGAGGGCGCAGUCCCCCGCGCACAGUUCUUCACGUGCGGCACCGGCGACCGCACCUCGGGAGGAGGUGGCUGCGGUACUACCAGUUCAGAGACCGGCGACAGGGGCAGCAUUCCCCGUGAUGGCCGAGGGAGCCGAGCGGGACCGGCUUAUGGAUUGCCUCAGUGAGUUCAGGAGAUGCAACCCGAGGACGUUUGAUGGCGAGAACGUCGACCACUGAAUUGUUGAGAAGUGGUUGAUGCACAUGGUGAAGCUUUUUCAAGACACCUUUGUGGAGGAGCUGGAUAGAGUUUUGCUCGCCACUCACUUUCUCGACGGCGAGGCCUACCGUUGGUGGUUGGAUAUCUAGGACAACCCCAACACCGACUUGGCAGCGAUUACUUGGACGUGAUUCAAGGAGCUUCUUUUGGCGCACCACUUUCCGACCAGCGUUAAGAGGAAGAUGGAGCAGGAUUUACGCAGCUUGCGCCAGGACGAGCGGUCAGUGGCUGAGUACGAGAGGGAGUUCUCCCGGAUACUACACUGUGUACCGUUUGUUGUGAGGGAUGACGAGGACAAGGCCCGCAUUUUUUAGCGCGGUUUGCGGCCUUCUAUCUUCCGGUUGGUGCAGUCUUCCAACCUCCAGACCUAUCGGGAAGUUGUGGAUCGAGCUUUGAUAGUGGAGGCAGGAGCGGCGGAUUUGCAGGAGCGUCGCGAGAGCUCAGAGAAGGGGAAGGGGAAGAGGCCCGCGGCUGAUGGUGCAAGUCAGACGCACUCACGGAAGCCGUCGAGGCACCCCAGGAGUCGGAGCCAGUCGCGAGGACGUGGCCAGUCUACCCAACGAGGAGGACCCGACCGUCGCCAGGCUCCCCACUGCGUGAUCUGUGGUGGUCCCUACUACCCACGACAGUGUACACGCAGCCGGGGCAGGUGCUUCUUGUGUGGCCAGGAGGGCCACUUCCAGUCGGACUGCCCGAGGAGCCCAUUGCCAGCGCCAUCUUCGGCAUCUGCACCAGCAUCGCUAGGUCCCAGUCAGGGGACAUCUUCUGCGCAUCACCAGGCAGGGCGACCGCCAGUUCUACGGCAGGUGGAGGGGUCACGACAGGCCCCGAGCGGGCGCAUGUACGCGGCCCAGACUGAGGAGGCGGUGGCGGCCGAGAAUGUGGUCGCAUGUAUCAUUUUACUUCAUGGUAUUCGAGUUAGAGCAUUGUUUGAUACCGGUGCAUCGCAUUCAUUCAUUGAUCGGCUGUUUGCCGAGCUGAAUGGUAUCCCACUUGUAUCCUUGUUGCAUCCGGGACGAGUUACUGUACCCGAUCACUCUUUGGACAUUCGAGAGUUUUGCCCCAGCUGCCCUAUUCGGGUUGGAGAUUGGAUCAUGCCCGUGGACUUGCUAGCUUUGCAUAAACUCGGGGAGUUUGAUGUUGUGUUGGGCAUGGAUUGGUUGACUAAGUAUUUCGCCACUAUCGAUUGUAAGGAUCGAACGGUGACUUUUAGAGAGCCAGGGCAGGCGGAGGUUGUGUACCGAGGAUGCCAGAGUUCGCUGUUUGCGAUGACGAUUAGCUCCUCUCGAGCUAGGCAAUUGAUUAGUAGAUACUGCGUAGCCUAUUUGGCUACUGUUGUGUUGCGGGGCGAUGCGGACGCCCCUAGGAUUGAGGAUAUCCCCGUAGUGCGGGAGUUUGGAGAUGUGUUUCCAGCGGAGCUUCCAGGCAUGCCUCCUGAUAGGGAGAUUGAGUUUGUGGUAGAUCUCGUUCCCGAGACUACUCCGAUCUCAAAGGCACCCUAUAGGAUGGCAUCAGCAGAAUUAAAGGAGCUGAAGGCACAGUUGCAGGAUCUUCUCGAUAAGGGUUUUGUGCGACCGAGUGUGUCAUCUUGGGGAGCACCGGUUUUGUUUGUGAAGAAGAAGGAUGGAUCACUUCGCUUGUGUGUGGACUAUCGUGAACUUAACAAAGUCACGAUCAAGAACAAGUAUCCAUUGCCGAGGAUCGACGAUCUAUUUGAUCAGCUCCAGGGAUCUUGUGUAUAUUCCAAGAUUGACUUGUAGUUGGGAUAUCACCAGUUGAGGAUCAGACCUGAGGAUGUGUCGAAGACGGCUUUUAGAAUACGGUAUGGACACUAUGAGUUUACUAUUAUGCCAUUUGGGCUUACUAAUGCCCCGGCAGCUUUUAUGGAUUUAAUGAACCGUGUUUUCAAGCUUUACUUAGACAGAUUUGUCGUGGUGUUCAUCGACGACAUCUUAGUGUAUUCCCAGAGUGAUGCGGAUCACGAGGAACACUUGAGACUUGUACUUCAAGUGCUUCGGGAAAAGAAGCUCUAUGCCAAGUUGAAAAAAUGUGAGUUUUGGCUUAGAGAUGUGGCGUUUUUGGGCCAUGUGAUUUCAGGAUCAGGCAUAGCGGUGGAUCCGAGAAAAAUUGAAGCUAUCAAGGAUUGGCCGAGGACGACGAGUGUGACUGAGAUACGGAGCUUCAUUGGGUUGGCCGGCUACUACCGACGGUUCGUCGAGGGAUUUGCAAAGUUAUCUACUCCCCUCACGAGACUCACGCAUAAGGGCACCAAGUUCAUUUGGAAUGAUGCGUGUGAAAGGAGCUUCCAAGAGUUGAAGCAGCGAUUGACGACCGCCCCGAUCCUAACCUUGCCAACUGCUGGAGCAGGGUAUGUGAUUUAUAGUGAUGCUUCCUUUAAUGGAUUGGGCUGUGUCUUAAUGCAGGACGGAAAAGUGAUCGCGUAUGCAUCUCGCCAAUUGAAGGAUUAUGAAAGGAAUUACCCUACUCACGACUUGGAGUUGGCGGCCGUGGUCUUUGCAUUGAAGCUAUGGCGCCACUACUUAUAUGGCAAGCGAUGCGAAGUAUAUACGGAUCACAAAAGCUUAAAGUAUCUAUUCACUCAGAAGGAGUUGAACUUGAGACAGCGCAGAUGGUUGGAGCUACUCAAGGAUUAUGAUUUGACGAUACUUUACCACCCGGGCAAGGCUAAACGUGGUGGCUGAUGCGCUAAGUAGGAAAUAGACGGAAAACUUAGCGAUGCUUGUGGUUACUCAACCGCCGUUGAUCGAGCAAAUGAAGCGGUUGGAGUUGGAGGUGGUGACUCCUAAUACACCUUUGAGACUGAUGACUUUGGUGGUGCAACCUAUACUUUUGGAAAGGAUUAAGGAAAAGCAAGCUUCCGACUCGGAGUUGCAAAAGAUUCAAGCUAAGAUGGUUGAUGGUUGCACCGGUGACUUCACUUUAGACGGUGAAGGAUUGAUGCGUUUCCGCGGAUGGCUUUGUGUACCGGCGAACUUGAGCAUUAAAGAGGAUAUUCUUCAAGAAGCACACCGAGCACCGUAUGCUAUACAUCCAGGAGGCACCAAGAUGUACAAGGACUUGAAGUCGCUUUAUUGGUGGCCCGGGAUGAAAAAGAAUGUUGGUGAGUUUGUUGCUAGAUGUUUGACUUGCCAACAGGUGAAGGCUGAGCACCAAGUUCCUGCGGGAAAGUUGCAGAGCCUACUGAUUUCGGUGUGAAAAUGUGAAAAGAUCACCAUGGACUUUGUGACUGGAUUGCCUCGCUCACAGGCUGGGCAUGAUGCUAUUUGGGUGAUCGUGGAUAGAUUGACAAAAUCAGCACAUUUCAUACCUAUCCACACUACUUGGACUUGGGAGAGACUCGCACAGGUUUAUUUGGAUGAGAUAGUGCGAUUGCAUGGGGUACCCACUUCUAUAGUGUCAGAUCGAGAUCCCCGUUUUGUAUCCUAUUUUUGGAGGAGCUUACAGGACGCUCUGGAUACGCGCUUGGACUUCAGUACUGCUUUCCACCCCCAGAGUGACGGGCAGUCGGAGCGUACGAUACAGACUCUCGAGGAUAUGCUUCGAGCCUGCGUGAUUGACUUCCAGGGAGGAUGGUCGCAGCAUCUACCGAUGGCAGAGUUUGCUUAUAACAACAGUUAUCACGCAAGCAUCAAGAUGGCACCGUUCGAGGCACUCUGUGGACGGAAGUGUAGAGCGCCACUUCAUUGGAGUGAAGUUGGCGAGAGAUUGGCUUUAGGCCCUGAUGUGCUUCAGGAAGCAGAGGACAGGGUUCGCAUUGCUCGGGAGCGAUUGUUGACGGCCUAGAGUAGGCAGAGGAGUUGUGCUGAUCGGCGUCAACGAGACUUGGAGUUUCAGAUUGGAGAUCGCGUCUUCUUGAAAGUCUCGCCGACUCGAGGGAUUAGACGAUUUGGAAUCCGGGGCAAGUUGAGCCCCCGAUUCAUUAGACCGUUUGAGGUUUUGGAGUGUGUAGUAGGCCCGGUAGCGUAUCGACUCGCUCUACCGCCAAACUUAUCGGGUGUACACAAUGUGUUCCAUGUAUCGGUCAUUCGGAAGUACAUCCACGACCCGGCUCACGUAUUGGAUGCUACGCCUUUGGAGCUGCGGGAUGACUUGAGCUUUGAGGAGCAACCAUUGAGGAUUUUGGCUCGCGAGGUGAAAAGACUGCGGAACCGUGAGAUUCCCUACGUGAAGGUGCUUUGGAGCAACGAUGACGAGCGCGAGGCCACUUGGGAGCUGGAGAGCGCACUGCGGGAGCGCUACCCCCAUCUUUUUCAGAUGGAGACUUGAGGUACUUGUCAUUUCGAGUUUCGCGGAUGAAACUCCUUUUUAGGAGAGGUGAAUGUAACACACUGGACCUUUGCAAAUUGCGAGGUUCGAGUGAUUGGCUGUGUUCUGAGCUUUUUCAGAUUUUCUGGCGGGUCGUUGACUGUGUUCCGACCUACGGCACGUAGCCCGAGAAUCGAGGUUUAAAGCUGGGCACCAAAACCCGAAAAAUCGAAUUUUGGUUAGCCCUCGGGUAGCUUUCAGCAGGCCUUGUACCGGUACAAGGUUGAUUGUUGUACCGGUACAAGGUUGAUGGUUGUACCGGUACAGGGGCCUUGUACCGGUACAGAGCCGCUGAACCCGCCAACCCGAGCCUCGGGUUUGGAUUUCGUGGGCCUUGUACCGGUACAAGGCGGCAGAUUUUGAGCAGUUCGAAACUGCAGGGAUUUUUUCGCGAUUGUAACCUCUCUAUAAUAGCACCCUCGCCCCCUUAGGGUUUUUUUUUGUGCUGGAACCACAGGGAAACAAGGUGAGGAGCCAUCUAUUCCCUCCUUUUGAUUUUUCCUUGGUUGUAUUGGAGAUUUUUGAGGAUUAAUGCCUCAUUUUGCUUCUUGUUGCAUCUUGGAGGCUUUUUUCACCAUUGGAGAGGACUUGGAACUUUGAUAGAGGCUUGUUGGAGGAAAGAUCUUCCACCCCAUUUGAUUUGGAGCCCAAGUUGAGACUUCUAGAGAGAUUAGCAACAUGAUUUGAGCUUUUGUUCCAUGUUUUGCUAAGUUUUUUAGAUGGAACCCUAGAUUUGAUACUUAGGGUUUGAUUUUGGGCAUUUUAAAUCUAGGGCUUUUGGAGCUAGAUUGUUUGGAUUAGAACCUUCCUUGGGCUUGGAUUGGAAGGGAUUUAGCUCUCUUUUGGAGUUUGAAAGAGAUUUCCUACACAUUAGGUGAGUUUUAGCCCUUUUACUAAGUUUGUUAAAGUUUGAUCUUAUAGUUGAUCGUAAUGCCCGUGUAUCUCUUCGCUCGAUACUUUUAGGGUAAUUUGAGACUGGUGGACAACUUCGUUCGGCGAAUCGAGGGAGCACGGGACGGUUCGGUGGGUCUGACUUAGCCUAUGAUAUGAGAAAUCCUCAUAUUUGGCGAAAUGUGUUUCAUAAAGUAGAAAUUCAUGCAUUUCCAUAUUAAAUGUAAUUAUUAUGAAUUUUAUAAUGCUUAACAUGCCUACGUUAUGUAAAGUAAAAUUUUGACCUUUAUGUAGUAGAGAGCAUGCAUAUGAAACAUAGCAUUCUAGAUGAGAUUUGGAACUAUGGCCCCUAUCAUGAGAAUGGAUCUUGUUUUCUUGCAUUUAGCCUAUAUGCCAAUUGUGACAUUAGGGAUUUUAAAGGCCUAGAGAGGGCUUGAGAACUUGGACUAUUUGAGAAUUGGGCCAAUGUCAUAAAGAGGCAUUAGGCCCGGGCUAUAGUAAUCAUUGGUAUUAAUGUUUUAAAUGAAACAAGAACAAGAAUUGGGCUUGAUCAGUUGUGAUGCUUAAGUGUCAUAAAGAGGCACUAAGCAAGUGAGUGUUGGGACAUCACUUAGAGACAUUGGGCUAGAUCCUUGGGAUGCUAGUGACCUUACCAUGUUAGAGACAUAAGGAUUGGAUACUUGAGACUUAGACUAUGCCUGCUUGCCAUUUGUGCUCAUUCGCACAUGCUUGUGUGGGUCGCUCCCCACAAGCCGGCACUCCGGAGUUAGCCUACGCGACUUAUGUUCGCUCGUGCGGUAUUGAGAAGCCUACGGGGUCGAGUGGGACAGACACAUUCCAAGAGUAGGGAUGUUGGGCUACCACAGGCACUUAGGCGGCACAAGCUGGACUACCUUGGGUAGGUCCCUAAUUGGAAAUGGAAACCGACACAGUAUUGAGUGUGUGACAGUCACUACUAGACAAAGAGUAGUAGUUGGAUUACUUGGGUUUGCUUCUAGCAUAGUGUUGGACACAUGAGUAUGCAUAUAUACAGGUAGUAUGUUAGGAGUUGUCGCCAUUGCAUUCAUAUAUAUAAUGUCGCCAUGAUAAAGUAUAACCUUCAUAACUUCAUAAAGUAAAUCUUGAAAGUACUUGUGAAUAUGUAGAAACAUACUAGUCAUGACAAGGUAAAAGUGCAUCAUAUAAAUGCCAGAUUCAAUUGCAAAGUAGUAAUUUAGCAAUUUUAAUUAUGCUUUCACAUUUGCAAUUUAUUUAUUGUUAUUACUAUCUUGGACUUACCCCCCCUUUCCUUUUGGGGCCUAGUGGUGCGAUGAGCUGAGGUCAGUAAUUGCCCACUGGGAACUAUAAAUUAUAGUUCUCACGCCCUCUCUUUUAUGUUUUCUUUCAGAGCCUUCCAUAUCGGGAGAGGCUAGGGAUCGCGGGAAGGGAGUUGCGUCAAGCUAGCUUCCUUCGUGGACGAUUUGAUAGGUGGUCUACCUCUCGUUGUUUUAUUUUGUGAGAAGUUGAGAGUUGUACCCGUAUAUGUAUAAAGACCACCAUUCUUUUGGAUCUUUGUAUUCCUUUUGAGGAAAUAGCAUUGUAUCACUUUAUGCUUUACUUUCUUUAUCUAGUUAUGUUUCUUUUACUCUGGUUUAGAUGAUAGAACUUUACUCGCUCUGAUAUCAUUAGUUAUUAUUGUGCUAUUUGUUCUAUCUCUUGCUUUUACUUCCGCUUUUAUUGUAGACGCCUUAUAUGUGUAGACAUAUGGCGGGUCUGGGCACGCUACCGGGAGGGCCUCCGCCGGUCCCGGGGCAUGACAAAUACCAUGUCAACUAUAGAAAACAUACAAGGAGUGGAAAUGCAUGUAUCAUCAUCCUAUAAUGCAUAACAAUAUACAAGAUGCAAGUCAACAAUGCAACUAAGACAUAGAAAGAAGUUCAGUUGCUUCAGGAUGGCACCCUCCAUCUCUAUGUGAUGCCUCGAAGCUAGGAAUCCAGUUUCGCGAUUUUUGGAUGCCGCCUCGGCCUUCCAGGCAGAAACGAUGCCAAAAACGUCCUUUUCACAAAUAUCUUCGCGUAGGGUUGUCGGAUUGCCAAACCGACUUCGCCAACGUGUUAGAAUACCUAGCAAUUAGGUUUGUAUGGGCUCAAUUUAGAUCAAAACCCCACAUAAGCAAAUGCCCUCUUUUGGAUGCCCUAGAAUCUCAUUAUUGGAAAAUGCUACAUCUAGCUCAUUACUUAUGCAAUUAAUGAGUUCAACUACAUCUAGAGGUCCAUUAAAUUCCAUUCCUAGGGUUUAUAAACACAUCCCUAGCAAUUUACCAUGGGAGAGCUCAAAAAGCUUACCUCCAAAGCUUGCUCCAAUUGUGGGGAAGAAGAUGAAGAUCAACUUCCAAGCUUACUUCUCCACCAAUCUCUCCUCUUAAAUCCCACCUUGAAGAGAGAGAAAGAGAGUUUAGAGAGAGAGAGGUAUUUUGGGUUUAUCCAAAUGGGAGAGAUAAGAGGAAAUGGCCCCUAUACCCUCUCAUUUAACCCCACUCAAUCCAAAUUGCAAAAAGCCCCUCCAACUCUUCUGUUCUCACACUGCCCGAAUUGGGCAGUUUUCUGGUACGGGGAUCGGACUGUAGCACACUAGACCUUUGCAAAUUGCGAGGUUCGAGUGUUCGAUAUGUAUUCCGAACUUUUUCACACUUGGUGGAGGGCCGUCGAUUUAUACCGGCCUAAAAGUUCUAUCUCUAGAGUUUUGGCAAGUCCUAAGAGUUUUCACUCUUGGGGACCGGUCCCUGAUAUGAGAAACCGGUCCCCUCAGCACAGUGCUACGACAGGGCUUGAGGCAACCGGUCCCUGGCUGUGAGAGACCGGUUCCCGAACGCUGGUUUUGCGGGACGAGCCGAGAGACCGGUCCCUGGCAGGGAGAGACCGGUUCCUCAGCGCGUGAGCGGCCCAGACCGGGCAGUGCACAGAGUGGAUUUUUGAGGGGCCUAAGUGGAUUUUGUUACCUUAGAGGCUUUAGGCAGCCUCUCUACCCCCUCUCACUCUCAUUUUCUCUCCCUCUCACUCUCCCUACACUUCUAGAGAGAGAAAGGGAAGGAGAAGAAGGAGAAGGAGAGGAGAGGAGCUUGCUUGGAGGCCUUGGAGCACCAUCUUCUUCCUCAUUUCUCACCUUUGGAGGCUUGGAGCUUGCUUUUGGAGCUUUGUGGUGGAUCAAUCUUCAACCCUAGAAGAAGUGAAGAAACUCCCUCUCCCUCAUCUCUAGCUUGGAAAAGAAGAGCUUACAAUGUAAGCUUUGAACCCUAAUCAUGGUAGAACCUAAUCUAGGGUUUGGAUUAAGCUUAAAAUGGGUUUUAUGGAACCAUUUGAGUAUUUGAAGCUUUUCUUUUGCUUCUUUUGAGAUCAAGACCAUAGAAAUUGUGAAGCUUGAGGUGAGCUUCAUCACCUCUCAUGGUGAAGCCCUAAGUAGGGUUUUGAUUUGUCUAAAGAUGGUUCUAAUGGACUUUUUAGAGUAUAAUGAAGCUACUUUUGCUUCCCAUUGAGAUCAAACCCUAAGUUUGAUGAUGCUAUGGAGCUAGGGCACCCAAAUUGGAGCUUUUGCUCAUGGGGGUUCCUAAGUGAAAUUGACCCUCUAGAAACCUAAUUAGGGGUAUUUCCGACGCGUUAGUGCGCUCGGAUUAACAUUACGAAGAGCCAAUGAAAAGAUAUGAGCAAAAUGACCUAUUAGGGCUUCGUUUUGCCGCAGGUAAAGAACGAGAAGCCUAGAAAUCCCAAGAAAAUCGUCGGAGCACCUUUGAAAGCCUACGAGGUAGGUGGUGCUUUUCAAACUUGUUGAAUUUCUCUCUAUGCCUAAUGUGUCGUUCAUUUGAGCAUGUGUAUAUAUAUUGUUGUAUGCAUUUUAGGGUAAAGUAAUGAUGAAAAUAUGAUGAUGCAUGAUUAUGAGUACAACUUGCAUAAUAUGAUGAAUGAGAACUAUGUGAACGUCAAAAACCCUAUGUGUAUGCAUGAGAGAAAAGUGAGCACCCAAAGUGAGCAAAAGAACAGAGUGACACAAUGACAUAGAUCGAGUGGCAUUUGAUAAAGUUAAAGUGAAAUGACACUAGAGAUAAUGUGAGGUAAAGAACCAAUAUAAUAUAAAGAAUGAUGAAAAUGACAAUGUUUAAAGUUAAAGUAAUGUGGGGAGUAAAGAACAUGAAGUGCUAGAGGUAGCCAAAAGUAAAGAAUGUAAAGAAUAUGAUUGCUAGAGUUAGCAAGAGUAAUGAAUGGUAAAGAAUAAAGAUUGCUAGAGUAGCAACAUAAAGUGAUGUAAAGAACACUAGAGCUAGUGUAAAGUCAAGAUUGAACUUAUAAAUCCUUUGAGUUAAGGAUAUGAUCAUACUUGCUAUGAGUUCCGUGCUCGAGGGCGGUCGCUCCCCCUCGGGCGAUGCGCUCCGGUGUUAUGCAUCAUGAGUUGGAGUAAACCCGAAGGAAGGUCCUAGCGGGUGAGUUCCUGCGAUGAUAGACUUAAUGUGAAGCAAGUCAAUGUGGCGAUACCCCCGGGUUAGCCUUGAGAUUAAAGAACAAAGAGUAAAGAACAAAGUGCAAAGAACAAGGAACAAAGAACAAAGAGUAAAGUGAAAAGUACAAAGAAUUUGCAUAAUCUGCAUUUAUUUAAUGUUGAGCAUAUUUCUGCUUAUUAUUCAGGCAUAUUAGCAUCAUGUAUAGUUUGGUUACUGUUUAUAGCCUAUUCUUUCUAUUAUGCCUGAGUUAGUCCUAGUGGGAAAGUCGGUGAUGUUGAGGCCGAACCCACUGGGAACUUUAUUGUAGUUCUCACCCCACUAUUUCCACAGAGCCGGGUCAGAGUGAGUCGGCGAGCGACCGAGGUAAAGGUAUCGCGCCUUAGUCAGAGGCCACCAGAGUUGGGUUUACAUUUUGUAGUAGUUACCCCUUAUCUUCUUUUGUACUUGAUGGUUAGUGAUGUAAAGAAAAGAAUGUAAGGUGUAUUAUGAGAAAAUGUGAUGUAAGAAAGAAAUGAUGAAAUGAAAUGUAAAGAAUUCGAAAAUGUACAAGAUGAAUGUAAUGUAUAUGAUCUAAAUUGAAUCAUAGUACAAAAUGAAUGCUAGUUUCCUAUCUUUCACUCGUGGCUAUUGCUUACCCUUGUGUAAGCCGUUUGUGUAUGUUUCCGCUAGUGCUUUUCUCUAUUGAUGAAAAUGUACAUGUGAUGAGCCUUGGGCGGAUAAGGGAAACUCUAUCCGUUCGGCGUCUCUUUGACGUGCUCGAGUCGGGCCAAAUUGGUAUCGGUCCCGGGGCGUGACAUGCAGUGCCUCCUUCGGACCUGGUGGGUCGAGCUCUUCCCUUGCGUGGCCGUACCCACUGGAAACUAUAUUUAUAUAGUUCUCACCCCCGUGUGGUUUUGGGGGUUACAGGUUCGCACGCGAGCGGCGCGUCGACGCAAGGAGAGGGCGUAGCUCCGUAGAUAGCGCCUUACCACCGAGACCAGAGAUAGUGGUACCGGAGUCAGCCAAGCUAGGGGCUGUAGAAAAGAAAAAGAAUCAAACUUGUAAUAAUCUGGUGAUAAUUGAUUGUAUUCAGAAGUUGAAUGUAAUUUUUAAGAAAGGAAAUGUAUAAGUUUCAAAUGAGAUGAAUGCUUGUAAUAACAUAAGAUGUGUUAUGUUUUUGAUACUUCCUUUUGCGAUCUAUGAUCGAAUACUGUUCCUGGUUGGAACCACUUGUAUUGUUUUGAUUGCGACGCCUAAGACGUACAGGGUGUUAGGAUUCGUCCACAUUGGGACUUAUUUAAAAUAUUUCUAAUCCAUAUAGGAUAAGAAAUAAAUAUUUACAAUUAUCCGUUAUAUUCCUAAUCCACUUGGGAUAAAGAAUAAAUCUAACAGAUAAAUCCUAAUCUGUUUAAAUCUCUAUCUAUGUGAGAUUUAGUUAGAAUAUGAUUAGAAUUAAUAUCUUCCUUAUGGCCUAUAAAUACAUGAGGUAUUGACCACAUACUAGAUAACGAGAAAAAAAUAAGAAUCAUCUCUCCACCAAAAUUCUCUCUCUUGGGUUCGCUCUAGGGCACCAUCAUAAACCCUAGGGAUUUGGGCGGUGUGCAGCGAUCGACUCUAGUAGCCGGAUUGCAACGAGUAAGAACAACGUACAACAAAUUGAGACAGGACGUUGGCGGAUCAACGAGUUCGUAAAACAAGACGAGAUCAGAUCCUGGUAAUCACAACAUUAAUUCCGCACCAUAAAGAGGUAUGUAAAAAUCUAUGUGAUUUUUGCGACAAUUGUUUUUUGGGUAUUUAAUUAAUUUUAUCCAACAGUGGUAUCAGAGCCAUAUAGUGCUUGUUUUCGCUCGAUGAUUCUUUUUUUUUAACAUCGAAUAUAUUUUUAAAUAUUCUAUAAUAAUAAUAAUGGGUGAAGUUUUUGAGCCGUUAUUGGCAGGCUCAACUCGGUUUUAUUGGUGUAUGAUAGUCCUACAAAAGAUCCGGCCCACUCGUUCACUGGGCGGCAUGUUAGGCCAGCCCUCUGACUUAUUGGGAAACCAAUACAGGGCCCGCUAUCGGGCCAAUAUGCGGGUCAAGCUCGCACACUGGACCCGUGGAGGCCAGCCCGUGUGGGGGCUUGCUCGCGACCUGUAACACACUGGACCUUUGCAAAUUGCGAGGUUCGAGUGUUUGGAUGUGUUUCGAGCUUUGCAAAUUGGGUUAUAGUAGUCAUUAGUAUUAAUGUUUAAAUGAAACAUAGAACAAGAGUCGAGCUUGAUCAGUGUGAUGCUUAAGUGUCAUAAAGAGGCACUAAGCAAGUGAGUGUUGGGACAUCACUUAGAGACAUUGGGCUAGAUCCUUGGGAUGCUAGCGACCUUGCCAUGUUAGAGACAUGCGGAUAGAGUAUUUGAGACAGUGACCUUGCUUGUUUGUCAUUUGUGCUCAUUCGCACAUACUUGUGAGGGUCGCUCCCUACAAGCCGGCACUCCGGAGUUAGCCUACGCGACUUAUGUUCGCUCGUGCGGUAUUGAGAAGCCUAGGGGUCGAGUGGGACAGACACAUCCCAAGAGUAGGGAUGUUGGGCUACCACAGGCACUUAGGCGGCACAAGCUGGACUACCUUUGGUAGGUCCUUAAUUGGAAAUGGAAAUCGACACGGUGUUGAGUUUAUUAUGAACACUACUAGUCUGAGAGUAGUAGUAGGAUCACUUGGACUUCCUUCUAGCAUAGUUGUGGACAUUUGGGUAUUCAUACAUACAUGUAGUAUGCUAGGAGAUGUUGUUUAUUGCAUCCUUAUAUGCAUUGUAGUCAUGACCAAGUAUUACUUUCAUAUCUGUAUAAAGUAAAGCAUGAUAUUACUUGUGAACAUAUAUAUCCAUGACAAGAUAAAGUCGCAUUAGGAAUGCCAUGUUUAAUUGCAAGUUGUAGCUUAGCAUCCUAAUUAUUAUGCUUUCUAAUAUGCAAUUUACUCGUUACUCUUAUUGUUAGACUUACCCUUUUCUUUGGGGCCUAGUGGUGCACUGAGCUGAGGUCAGUAAUUGCCCACUGGGAACUAUAAAUUAUAGUUCUCACGCCCUCUUUUUCUCGAUGUUUUUCAGAGCCUUCCACGCAGGGUGAGGCCAGGGAUCGCGGGAAGGGAGUUGCUUCGAGCUAGCUUCCUUCGAGGACGAGUUGCUAGGUGGUCUACCUCUCGAUAUUUAUUUUUUUUUUGCGAGAGGUUGAGGGUUUUACCAGUGUACUAGAGACCACCAUUUUUGUACUUUUGAGACAGAUAGUGUUCUACUUAUGGUUAUCUUUGUUUGACUAGCUUUAUUUCCUUUACUUUGGUAUAGAUGAUAGAACUUUUCUUGCUCUGAUGUCAGUAGUUGCUAGUUAUUUCGCUACUUUUAUUUGUUCUACCUCCUGCUUUUACUUCCGCUUUUAGUGUAGACGCCUUAUAUGUGUAGACAUAUGGCGGGUCUGGGCACGCUACCGGGAGGGCCUCCGCCGGUCCCGGGGCGUGACAGAUUAAUUUGGUAUCAGAGCCUAGGGUUGAGUCUUAGUGGACCUAGCGAACCUUAGGCCGGUUGGACUAUAGGAAUUAGGCUCGUGAGAGACGAGAUCUAAUUGACUUGUGAGCGAAAGUAUUUCGAUUGGGUUCAUGACAACUCUAAAAAGUUAGAGUUUAAUUGGAGUGUAUGGCUCCUAACUUCGCGGAGGGUUACGUUGGCGGCCGACAACGUAACAUCGGGAGUUAGUAGUGAAGGACACUUCCUUACUUUCGCGUGAUUUUGGUUUUGUUAUUUGAGUGGGGACUCGAUAGUGCGGGUUGCUAACUUGCACUUUUAUGUUCUGUAGUGACGAUGCCAAUUACACGCUCCCAAUCUGCCGGGGCGGAUGAUGCGGCACACUCCGAGGAGGUCGAGACCUCCGCUACUUCCGGAUCUAGUGAGGUCCGUGACUUGAGGGCCCAGCUUGCGGUUCUCACUGAUUUGUUGGCGCAGCAGACGGCAGCGGCGCAGCGACAGGCUGAGGUGGCUCAGCGGCAGGAGGCGCGGAUGAAGCAUCUUGAGGACCUCCUACUGCAGCAAGCGGCAGCUUCGAGGGAGACCCAGGGCCCCACACCGCCAGCAC